AAAAUAACCCAAAAAUUCAGAAUAUGCGUUUUAAAAUCCUUCCGGGAAAUUCAGGGUUCCGACACUGGCUCUACCGUUCUCUGGAGGUGGCUCCAGCGCCCAUGGCGGCGGUUCACCUUGACUUGGCCUAUUUCGACUGGUUUAGGCUAGUUUUACGCGUAAACUUACAGAAAAACGAGUUAGAAAGACUCGGUUGGCCAGAAAAGGUAAAAAACUAAAACUUACCAGCCUGGGGUGCAGUAGCUCUGCCAAUUCUCCUUUGUGGUUUGGGUUCUUCUUUGGCUAACCUGCAUCAGAAAAGGAUGGUGGAUACAGUGGUCAUAAAAUCACGCAAAAUGGGAAAUAGAAAGGGAGUCAUUUGAGAGUGUUUUGGGUUUUGGCUGCUGCGACUCGGCCGAGCUUUACCCGCGAUUUCUGACUCAUCCGUUGAUUCUUUGGCUCCGAUAUGGGUUUUGGGAGGCUUUGGAUCACAUCCCGAGUGAGAAGGGGAAAAAAUAUGUUUUGGCGUCGCUGGUGGCUCCAGUGCGGCGGCGACAAUGGUUGG
rnacentral:lncRNA from 1 species